GAGCUCAGAAUCAAGAAAUAAAUAAUAGGGCAGUAAAAGGGGCUGGGAUUACAUACAAAAAGAAAAUUAAUGCCUGAACUUUUUACAAUCUGCUUGAUAAGCUUUAAUUCUAUUAACCUAUUUGAGCUUCCCAAGAACAGGCAAGCUCCCACAGCAGCUAGGAGGAUCACUUUGUCGUCAUACAAAUAGAAACAGGCUCAGAGAGGAAGUCAUUUGUUCUAGUUCUCACCAGGACAAAUCUACUGGGUACUAAAAAAGUGUGAAGGCUGGGGACAGUUUGAGUCGUCCUGCUUGCACCUUAAGCGCCUACAAGAGUGCCCGGCUAUAACAACCACAAUACCAAUAAUAAAAUUUAAAAACAGAUGUUCAGUAAGGACUUGCGGCAUUAGGACCCCAGGAGGGAAGUGACGUUCGAGGAGGCGGAGAAAGCCGCGAAGACGGCCUUCCCCACAUCUUCCAGCACCUGCGCGCCUGAAUCCGUCCCACCCAGGUCCAGACGCAGGCUUCUUCUCCUCGGGUCCUGGUCCUGCAUCCUCUCUCUCCCAGAGCCUCCGUUAGGGGGUGGGAAAGGACUUUGCCAUAGGUCGCUGAGGCCACCAUCUGCUCUCUUACUGGCCAAGGGCGUAAAAAGAUAGUCCUCCCAUUAGCUAGAGAGCAAACCCCAGAAAGCCUAUUGGCUGCGCCGUCCGCGGGCCUUGCUCCGCUUUGAAGGCAGGCUGCGGCUGCGAGAGGAGGGCGGGCGGGAGGCUAGCUGUUGUCGUGGUUGCUCGGAGGCACGUGUGCAGUCCCGGAAGCGGCGAAGGGAAACUGCUCCGCGCUCGCCGCGGGAGGAGGAACCGCCCGGUCCUUUAGGGUCCGGGCCCGGCCGGGCCAUGGAUUCUUUGCCUGAGCCCGCGUCCCGCUGUCUUCUGCUUCUUCCCUUGCUGCUGCUGCUGCUGCUGCUGCUGCCGGCCCCGGAGCUGGGCCCGAGCCAGGCCGGAGCUGAGGAGAACGACUGGGUUCGCCUGCCCAGCAAAUGCGAAGUGUGUAAAUAUGUUGCUGUGGAGCUGAAGUCAGCCUUUGAGGAAACCGGCAAGACCAAGGAGGUGAUUGGCACGGGCUAUGGCAUCCUGGACCAGAAGGCCUCUGGAGUCAAAUACACCAAGUCCAUUUCAGAUCCCCCAGACCAGAUGACCUAUCUUCCUUCCAGCUCUGAGUCACUUCCCAUUGGGACUUGCGGUUAAUCGAAGUGACUGAGACCAUUUGCAAGAGGCUCCUGGAUUAUAGCCUGCACAAGGAGAGGACCGGCAGCAACCGAUUUGCCAAGACACAGGCAGAAAUGCUCCACAGUUGCUGCCCCCGUGGGAACCUAAAGACACUAGAACAGAGAGAACUCAGCAAGAUCCAGGAUGUGCAGAAAGGGCAUGUCAGAGACCUUUGAGACAUUACACAACCUGGUACACAAAGGGGUCAAGGUGGUGAUGGACAUCCCCUAUGAGCUGUGGAACGAGACUUCUGCAGAGGUGGCUGACCUCAAGAAGCAGUGCGAUGUGCUGGUGGAAGAGUUUGAGGAGGUGAUCGAGGACUGGUACAGGAACCACCAGGAGGAAGACCUGACUGAAUUCCUCUGCGCCAACCACGUGCUGAAGGGAAAAGACACCAGUUGCCUGGCAGAGCAGUGGUCCGGCAAGAAGGGAGACACAGCUGCCCUGGGAGGGAAGAAGUCCAAGAAGAAGAGCAGCAGGGCCAAGGCAGCAGGCGGCAGGAGUAGCAGCAGCAAACAAAGGAAGGAGCUGGGUGGCCUUGAGGGAGACCCCAGCCCCGAGGAGGAUGAGGGCAUCCAGAAGGCAUCCCCUCUCACACACAGCCCCCCUGAUGAGCUCUGAGCCCACCCAGCGUCCUCUGUCCUGAGACCCCUGAUUUUGAAGCUGAGGAGUCAGGGGCAUGGCUCUGGCAGGCCAGGAUGGCCCCGCAGCCUUCAGCCCCUCCUUGCCUUGGCUGUGCCCUCUUCUGCCAAGGAAAGACACAAGCCCCAGGAAGAACUCAGAGCCGUCAUGGGUAGCCCACGCCGUCCUUUCCCCUCCCCAAGUGUUUCUCUCCUGACCCAGGGUUCAGGCAGGCCUUGUGGUUUCAGGACUGCAAGGACUCCAAUGUGAACUCAGGAGGGGCAGGUGUCAGAACUGGGCACCAGGACUGGAGCCCCCUCCGGAGACCAAACUCACCAUCCCUCAGUCCUCCCCAACAGGGUACUAGGACUGCAGCCCCCUGUAGCUCCUCUCUGCUUACCCCUCCUGUGGACACCUUGCACUCUGCCUGGCCCUUCCCAGAGCCCAAAGAGUAAAAAUGUUCUGGUUCUGA